rnacentral:lncRNA from 1 species
AAACUACCCAUUUGCUCUGUGCCCAGGUUCUCAAGUUACUGCAGUGUAAGUGCUAUGGUAAACUAUAGCAGGCAAAUGUCAGACUUGACAUAAUCUCCACUUCAACGUACGUGUACGUAUACACAAGCCUAUAAAUUAGGUAUGUGAGUUGUGCAGAUGAAGUCACAGAUUAUGGUCACUAUAACUGCGGUUGUUUUUUUUCCAUGCAAGAUGUGAUUUCAAUGAGAAUAACCCUUAGUUUGGAUUAAGGGACCAGGAGAAAACAACCCAAGCAAAAUAUUAGUGAAAAGAAUAAUACAGACAAUGUUGUCUGUUUAGCCUGUUCUGAACUGGAGACAAAAUGGCUGGCAGGCUUUCUUACCAAUUUAGACAUUAACAGGAGGCAGUGAAGCCAAAGGACUGUGUGCCUGCCUCAGACUCAGAAAACCCGUGCUCCACAAGCUGCAGCUGAGUGACAUAAGGAAUUCUUCCCUGUGCCUCUCUUUCCUUUCCCACCCAUUGCUUCUUUUGUAGAUUGUGAACUCAUCUGGAUAGAAGCUGGCUUUUUAAUUCCGUCUGUGCGCAACAGAGCCCUGAUCUCAGUUGGGCCUCUAGGCACUCGGUUAAUAUGUAUAAUAACAGCAUGGUACAAAAAAACAAAAGCAUAACAGUUUCAUGACAGAACGCAUCUCAGAUGAGUUAAUGUGUGCAAAGCACUUUGAAGUUGAAAGGUACUGCUGCAUGUGAAAGCUGAGCAGUACUUUCCUAUGGAUUUGUUGAUCUUGAGGACUCAAGAAGCCACUCAAGUUAUGCCUCUCCUAAGCAAGGCACAGAAUGCAAAUCGCUGCUGUACGUGCUGAUCUCCAGAUUGAGAAGUAUGUCCAAGAAAUUCUUACUUGAGGAGGUCAUUAAUAAAGCCCACUUCACUAUAAGCAAACAUCCUCAUUUUUCGCACCUCUCUAUAUUAAAAACGAGCAUCCCUGGGGAAAGAAUGCAAAUAGGCUUUUCACAAUCCUGCUGAUUUUGGCAUUAUCUCUCCUCCAGUGCUUUGAGUCACUUGCUUUCUGGUUCUCCUACAUAAAUUGCCAUGAGAAAUACAAAAAUUCAAAGAAGAAGAGUUACGGUCUGCCAACAGAUUGACACGAAUCUUAUCCAUUCUGGAUCCUGGAGAUAAACUGACUCCAAGGCUCACUGAAGGCAAGCAAAUCCCCAGCCAGGAAUAAAGAGCACUUCGUGACUACUUCCAAGCUUCUUGGCUGGGUCCUUUCACAGGUCUGUGGCUGAAAGCUAACCCAAGCACUCCCCAGAGUGACUGCAGACCUAAACUGCUACUUAGGGUCAUGGUUGCUCAAGUUCACCAUGUCUCACUACCAUUUACAGGGUUUUAGGAGCACAGAGCAGCCUAUGUUAGGCUUACGGACCUGCAUCAUGAAGGACACCUAACAGUGGCCCGGGGCUGAGAUGCAGCACCUGAGCAAAACAGCCCCUGAAAGAAGGCAUAGCGGUUACAAGAGAAAAGGGGGGCUGCGCGGAGGAGCUUUGUCCCUAAAUUCUGCCUUUCUGCAUCACUCCAACACUUCAGCACCAUUCUGUGUACUCGUAAUACAUAGCAAUCCGCACCGGUAUGCCUACUUACACAUCCAUACCUCCCAAAGGAGAAAACUGUAAUUAAACAAGCCUGAUGGACGCCCACCAGCACCCGCCCACGACCACGGCUGUCUUUCCAAAGACGAUGCCACUAGGUGGCAUUACAAUUACUCUCUGGCCACGUGCACAGACGCAGCAUCAGCUGCAUUGCCUAAACCACAGGUUUAAACACGUUUCUUGCUUACCGGGCACUAAUGUUGUUUCCCCGGCCAGUUGAUACAGGGAGAAGCUGUGGCGAAUUGUCAUUAAGAGGUUGCAAAACCCUACUCCCCAACCGCACUGAUUCAGCCUUAGCAGAGGAUGAUGUCAGCCCGGGCAGAUUUGGCAGCCAGAAAUGUGUUUGGGAAAUGAAAGGAGGGGCUUCUGCAUGCCAUGCUUGUUUUAGGCUGGAAGGGCCUCCUCUGCGAUAGCUGCUUUUGGUUAUGUAGGGAACAGGGAACCUGGCAGCUUUUGAGCCUUCAGUGAAACCCUGUGCUCGUUUACAGCCUCCCAGGAGCUGGCAGAUCUCAUCCAUUGACUGUUUCCUUAUGCGGCAGCCAGUGUCCUUACAAGCCCAAGUCAACGUGAGCAUCCCUUCAAGCCCAGGGCGGUGCAGAGAAGGCAACCUGGCACAGUCCACGUCCCACCACUCUCUGCCAGGCACAAAGUGCUGCCGUUUGGCUUCCCACGUCAUUUUAUUUUACACUCUUUUAUCCUAAAGCUCUGCCUGUGUUCUUUAAUGUAAUAAACAAAUCACAGUUCUUGCUUUACAUAUCACCUCACAUGAAAUCUC